GCUGGGCGCAGUGGCGCGUGCCUAUAGUCCCAGCUACUCGGGAGGCUGAGACUGGAGGAUUGCUUGAGUACAGGAGUUCUGGUCUGUAGUGCACUAUGCCAAUAGGGUGUCCCCACUAAGUUCGGCAUCAAUGCGGUGACCUCCCGGGAGCGGGGAUCCACCAGGUUGCCUAAGGAGGGGUGAACCAGCACAGGUUGGAAACAGGGCAGGUCAAAACUCCUGUGCCGAUCAGUAGUGGGAUCGCGCCAGUGAAUAGCCACUGCACUCCAGCCUGGGCAACAUAGCAAGACUCUGUCUCU
rnacentral:SRP_RNA from 1 species